CUAGCACUCAACGUUGGGAUCAUUCAAUAGAGUGUAACCUCAAUCGGUUUUUGCAGCUUCUGGGUCCCGUGUAGAACGAUUUUUUUGUUCUUUUCCAACUCGAUUUUUAACUCCCUAAACUAGUAGGAUGUUCCAACGGGUGAAGCAACAGUGCUGACGGCAGUUUCAGUGUCAAGUUUUCAUGCCAUGACCACUGGGGCGGAAACCAUUAUGACAUUGCCUUGGACAUCAAACUAAACCAUCUCAUUCUGGCUUUUGAGGUGGAUUCUAACCUCGAAAUCUCAGAAGGACAGGUCUAAGAUGGACGCAGCCUCCAUAGGAUGCAACCUUGCAUUUGAGAAACACCCAUAGAACGGUCAACUUACCCCAUACUCUAACCUGAAUGCAGGGAUCAUAAAACUUUAUCUUUUACCUUAAUUGUUAGAUGGGUGUUGAUACCAAACUUUUUUUCUCGUCUACCCAGGAGAAAGUCAUGGUGUUCUGCUGCUAAGGUUGUCAUAAACGUCUUUUAUUCUGCCUACCUGACUCAUGCAGAAUUCUGGCUUGAUGUUUGGUCCACCUGUUAGCUGGCUCUGGUGCUUGGUAGUCUUCUCAAACCUCUGAAUCAAGACCACCAUGAGAGGCCUUCUGAAGACCAUCAUUACGCUUCAGAUCCAGUUGUCUUUACUUUGAGCCUACCACAAUCCCUGUGCACCAGCUAUGGAAAGUGCAGACCAAACUUCUACCUCCACCUAUAGAACUGAACUGGAGUCUAUGAACUAAUGCUGUGUUCGAGACAACUUGGAUGUUGGAUAUUAUUGACCUUAAACCCGUAAGAAGUCAGGAACAGGAAACAAAGUGGAGUAUCCGACCUCUCAACUUGGACCAGAUCGAUCAACACCGACCUCAACGAGAUGCGUCAUUUGACAUUGCAGACAAGGUGGUGGCUAGCCUUUCACAGCCUUACAUGAACCGCAAACAAACUUUAAACAGCACGUAAUAUAGAUGAACAUGAAUGUUAAAUUAUCCAGUAACCGUUUUCUGCCAUAAUUGGCACAAGAGCACAAACUUCUCCUGGCGUCUCAUUAUGUGGUAAACACGCAAAUGUGAUACGUGAUUGACUGGAAUGCAUUGAGGUCGGAGCGAGGUAGGAUAUUUAAUGACAUAACAUCAGAAAUCAGAGUUGUCUGUAACACUGCACAAUAUUUCACCUAAUUGUUAGCACCUGAUUAUCAUGUUUUUAACACAACCAUUGAUUGGUCACACGGAUGAAGGCAGCAAGCAGAGACAUUUGUCCUUUGUAUCUCUCUCAAAAAAAAUAAUCUAUAUUUAAUGUUAAAAAACACUUACAGUAGACUGUGUUAGAUAACUGUGCUCUUGGAAGUCAGCUUAAGUGAACAAAUGGUAAUGUUAAUGAAAAGUUCAUUUUUGUCACUGUUGCAAACUAACCACCACACAGAAUAUGAAGAAUAGCCAGAACUGUGGUAAUAAGCUAGCCCUAAAAUGUUGUGAGAAUCUUGAUGUAUUGGACACAGGUGUGUAGUAUCUGUUAUAGAUUGACGGUUGACAGGUUUGUUUGCAUGUAAUUGCAUUAUUAAUUUGGUGUUGAUAGUCCAAUGUUGAUUUGGGAGAAAUAUUUAAUUUCUUUUCUUUUUAGAUCCUUUCUCUUUUUAAUGCAGCACUUAAGGAUGAACCACCCUGAUCUACUAAGAUGCACAGAUUCAACUCUGGCCCAGCAUCAUCCCCAUACCUCAUCUGCCAUCAGUUUAAUUUAAUGUCUGUCAAUUGCAAAUGCUAUUUAUUUCAGUUAUAUUACAACUUAAUAUUAAAGGAAUAGUCUACCCUUUUGCCAUAUUAAACUAUGUUAUUACCUCAACCUAGAUGAAUUAAUACAUACCUAUCUUUUUCAAUGCGUGCACCGUACAGCGCGUUGUGAAUGUGUUAGCAUUUAGCCUAGCCCCAUUCAUUCCUAUGGUACCAAAAAAGUUUUAUUUUGUGGCACCAUACUUACUGGUAUAACUCCUCAUGUAACAGUCUUAAAAUAGGGAAAACACGAAAGUGUUUGGUGGCUUCCCUGUUUGGUACCAUAGGAAUGAAUGGGGCUAGGCUAAAUGCUAACACAUUCACGACGCGCUGUACAGUGCACAAUAGAUAUGUAUUAAUUCGUCUAAGUUGAGGUAAUAACAUAGUUUAAUAUGGCAAAAGGGUAGACUAUUCCUUUAACUUUAAUUGAGACUAGUAUUGUGUAAAGCUGGGGUUUCCAAACUUCUCAUUUCAAAACCUAUUAGACAACUGUAAUCUAUUCUAGACCCACUAAAAUAUUUUUAAAUAUUAAUUUUUUAAUGGGGUAAAACACAUUUGUUCUCUUUCAGUGGAGUCAUUUUAUUUUCAUAAUAUUUCAUAAUGUAAAGUAAAUAUAAGUUUAUUUGCAAUACCAAAUAUUUUAUGGUAUAUUCUUUCAAAACCAUUGUCAUUGUUAAUUAUUAAUUUGGCCAAACUGUUGUUGCAUCAUUACGGUGUGCAACACACCUUAACCUACUGUGUGACGGACAAGUAGGUCCUCCUGACACACAAUUUAAAAUCCCCUGGUGUACUGAAUGUUGUAUUGUAAUUAAAGUUGCAUCUAAGUC